ensembl:lncRNA EDIL3-DT EDIL3 divergent transcript
ACCUCGGAGCGGGGACGUACGGUGGUGGCGGUGACACAAUGCGAGUGAGUGGAGCCUUUGGAAGGAAUUGGGCCAUGAGAAGAGCCCUCAUGAAUGGGAUUAGUUCCCUUAUAAGAAGAGACACCAAGGAAGUGAUCUUUCUCUGCCCUCUGCUAUGUGAAGACAAGGUAAGAAGACAGCUAUGAACCAAGAAGCAGGCCCUUACCAGACACCAAAUCUGCUGGUGCAUUGAUCUUGGACUUCUCAGCCUCCAGGACUGUGAGAAAUAAAUGUUUAUUGUUGAAGCCACCCAGUCUACAGUAAUUUGUUAUAGCAGCUGAAAUUGACUAAGACAAUUUAAAAAAAUUAAUCUCAUUGACUAUCAAUUUGGAUUCUGGAGCAUACCUGGAUUCAGGUAUACAUUGGAUUUGGGCAUAUCUGAACUGGAAUAUGGUCUCUAUCAUUCUAACUCCUUUAACUAAGUUAAAGUCUGUUAAGUGCCAAACCUCAGUAUUCUCAUCUGUAAAAUGAAGGUAGUGAUAGUAUCAAACUGAUAGUGGUAGGUUGUGGUGGUGCACAAAAGGGCCUAGUCCAGCACUGGACACAUGGUGAUGAUGAUGAAAGAUAAUGAUACUGAUAAAUAAGAAGACAAUACUAAUAUACAUAAUUCCAAAAGAAUUUUUCUUAAUACGUGAUCCUCUUCACUCCCCGUCUCCCAUCCCCAUUAAAUUACCUGGAAUUUUUUAGUCCAUCUUUCAGUUUGUCAAGCAACGAAUAACACUAAAGGUAGUCUUUUUUAUUAUCGUGUAAUUAUGGAAUUUUUUAUUAUUUUGCAUUUUAAAACUUUGUUUUGAAUUUCCAAAACUUUUUAUUUAAUAUCUAAAAUGUCUUUCUACUAAAAUUUUGCUCUCACCGUCUGAGACUCAAAGCAGAAAACCCAGCCAAGACCAUCUCAAAUUCUGACCUACAGAACUGGGAGUUAAUAAUUGGUGUUGUUUUAAACUGCUGAGUCUGUGGUAGUUUGCUAUGAAGACUAAUAUAGUUGGUUACUAUUGUUAUUCUAAUUUCAGGGAGAAGGAAUAAGUCAUGGAGCGGUUAGGUUAAUUGUCCAUCCUCUCAAGUUAGUAAGUGUUGGAGCCGAUAAGUGAAUCUAAACAGCGUGAAUCUAAAGCCCACUGCAUACUUCUGCCAACAAUUAUGAAGGGUCGACUGUAUGCUAAGCUCUAAUGCAUUUUUACAUAUAUUGCUUUACUAAAUAGGUUACCUCAACAACCUUUAUGAGGUAAAUAUUAUUAUUAUUUGCAUUUGACUACUGAGGAAACCAAGAAUCAAAACCUUUAAGUACAUUGCCCAGGAUCAAGGUGGCGGUGAGGAAUGGAGCCAAGAGCUAGUAUCAGAGCCCUGCUCUGGUUCCAGUAGUGAUUUUCACAGCCAUUGUGUUAAAAUGCCUAUUUAGACAGUGGUCUAACUUACUUUAUUUAUUGACAUUUUCAAUUUCAAUGGUUAUAAUUAUAAUUGUCAUUUUUUAGUACAGUUUGCAUUUCUCCCUGAUCUUCUUGAUGCAUCAUUUUAGAAUAUACAUUGCUGAAAUGUAGAAUUUCAAGCACAUUUUAAAUUCUCUACAAUAUUUGCAUAACUCAUAACACUUUUCUUCAUUGCUCCCACAAGCACCAAGAUAAUUCUUUCCUCCAACCCUCUGCUCAUGCUGUUAUCCCCACCUGAAAUGCCCUCUUACAAAUCCUACUAGCUGAAUUACAGUUUCCAUUUAAGACCUCCCCGAAUUAUUCUAGCACCAGAGAACCAUCAUUUCUUAGAAUUAACAGUGCUUUUAAUUUUUUUUCUAGUUGUUUCACUUGUGUUAAUCUUAUCUUUCCAAAGAAUUAUAUGGUUCUUACCAUUUAGAUAACUGCAUGUCUUAGACAUAGCUGAGUGUUAUGUUUUAAAUUUCUUCAGUCUUUCCACUGUGAACACUAAGGAAAAUUAAUUUUUAAGACUACAGAUUUGAUACCAAAUCCCUACUUCCUAAUAUUUCACUGCCUGAUUCCCUAAUGGAUGCUCUUUCCAGAAAAUGUGUAGGGUCAUUAAGCAAGAGUGUACCUUUGCUUUCAGAAUUUGACCCUGGUAGGAGAAAUUUCUGGUGCUUCUAAUUCUUUCCCUCCAGUUUCCCAGUCAAACUCAUUUCAGUGACUUGGUUUUUAGCUUCCUGAAAUAUGUUUGAAUAAUUAAUAUAUACACACAAUAAAAGUUCAAAGGUACAAAAGAGUGUGCAGGAAAAUAAAAGUUUUCCUCCUAAUGACAUUCCCUUCUUACACAAGGUUAUUCCCUCAGGGCCUACUGCUGAUAUCUAGUAGCUAUGCUUGUGUAUCCUUCUAAAGAUACACAAACACACCCCCCUAUAUAUGUGUGUUUAUAUGUACUUGUGCAU